rnacentral:rRNA from 1 species
GACGUAGGGCGCGAGCGUUUGUCCGGAUUUAUUGGGCGUAAAGAGCUCGUAGGCGGCUUGUCGCGUCGUUUCGUGAAAACCCGGGGCUCAACUCCGGGCUUGCGGGCGAUACGGGCAGGCUAGAGUUCGGUAGGGGAGACUGGAAUUCCUGGUGUAGCGGUGAAAUGCGCAGAUAUCUGGAGGAACACCGGCGGCGAAGGCGGCUCACUGGCCAUAUAUUGACACUGAAGCACGAAAGCGUGGGGAGCAAACAGG